GGGCCCUAAAGCUUACAGUCGGGUACUCACCUUAAUGGCUCUGAGAAGACUCGAACUGGUGACCAUUGGGGAGCAAACCCAAGCCUGAUCACUGAGUUACCCCUCAGGGUUACUUGUACAGAUGAUGUUNAGACUCGAACUGGUGACCAUUGGGGAGCAAACCCAAGCCUGAUCACUGAGUUACCCCUCAGGGUUACUUGUACAGAUGAUGUUACACCUCUGUUGACAGAUGAUAUUCAAAUUAAGAGUCAAAAUGCAUGUUAUCUCAUUUUAUCAAAUUAACUAUAUAUGUAGCAUAAUUCUAAUUUAAAUGUUAAAUAAAAAAUGGGAUAAGGGCAUAUGGCUUGUUGGAUACAUGUUCUUGAAUAUCAGGGUUUGACACAAC
rnacentral:lncRNA from 1 species